rnacentral:rRNA from 1 species
AACGAACGCUGGCGGCGUGUUUAAGACAUGCAAGUCGAACGGGGUGAAGUUGUAGCAAUACCGCUUCAUCCAGUGGCGCACGGGUGCGUAACACGUGAGUUACAUGCCCUGCAGUGGGGAAUAGCCCGCCGAAAGGCGGAUUAAUACCCCAUGGUUCCCGCGAGGGUAAAGGUGGCCGCAAGGCUGCCGCUGCAGGAUUGGCUCGCGGCCGAGCAGCUUGUUGGCGGGGUAACGGCCCACCAAGGCGACGACGGGUACCUGGUCUGAGAGGAUGAUCAGGCACACUGGAACUGAGACACGGUCCAGACACCUACGGGUGGCAGCAGUCGAGAAUAAUUCACAAUGGGCGAAAGCCUGAUGGUGCAACGCCGCGUGGAGGAUGAAGGUCUUCGGAUUGUAAACUCCUGUCAUCGGGGAGUAAGACCUGGGCGUGAAUAGCGCACAGGGUUGAUAGUACCCGAAGAGGAAGGGACGGCUAACUUCGUGCCAGCCGCCGCAGUAAAAC